GCUCAGUUGGUUAAGCGUCUGACUUUGGCUCAGGUCAUGACCUCACAGUUUGUGGGUUCAAGCCCCACAUUGGGCU
rnacentral:tRNA from 1 species